UUAAAAUCUUCCACCAAACCUUAGUCACAAUUUAUGUUCCUAACACUAGCUGAAUGAUUACUAAGUUAUUUUACUAAAUUCUUUGUUAUAUUUCAAAUUAAUUGAAAGAAACACAGAGCAUCUCAAUCAGAAUGGUGAACCAGUCUGAUUGGCUGAUUGGUUGACUGUCCAGUCAGCUGAUAGGUUAUUAUCCAAUCAUCUAUUUACAUUAGUGUGACAUGAAAAAAAAUUUGGUUAGUAAUUUAGAGUGAACUAGAAAUAUUUAAGUAACAAUAACAAUGGUUAUAAUUCUUUCUACGACAGGCACAAGACCUGAACAACAACAACAACAAUAAUAAUGAUAAUGAUAAUAAUAAUAAUGACCGAGAACCAAUAUUGAACUAUGUAAAACAAACAUAGGUCUGAUAUCUCGUGGCUAUUGAACAUUUUUAUUCUCUGAGUCUGUAAAAUGGCCCUAAUGAAGUUAAUUCAUAACAAAGCUGUAGCUUCUGUCUGUAAGUCUUUUAAAAAGAGUUCGGUAAAAAAAAUUCCAUCAUCGGAAUCUUCCAGUGGCUUCAACAAUUCAUAAAACACUGUCCUGACAGUUCCUGCAGUCUCAUUGCUGCCAACCAGGAUCUGUUGCUAACAUUUUUAUUCCAUCUAUAGAAGUACAAGAGAGCCUGAA